rnacentral:rRNA from 1 species
AACGAACGCUGGCGGCACGCCUAACACAUGCAAGUCGAACGAAGCUAUGGAUUUCGGUCUGUAGACUGAGUGGCGGACGGGUGAGUAACGCGUGGGAACCUGCCCAUUGGUGGGGGAUAACUAUUGGAAACGGUAGCUAAUACCCCAUACGCCCUACGGGGGAAAGAUUUAUUGCCGAUGGAUGGGCCCGCGUUGGAUUAGGUAGUUGGUGGGGUAAAAGCCUACCAAGCCGAUGAUCCAUAGCUGGUCUUAGAGGAUGAUCAGCCACACUGGGACUGAGACACGGCCCAG